GUCCUCUUAAUUUCUGCACAAUAUCUCCAUAUGUCCGUAUAUUGCUGCUCUGCAUUCCCUUGAAUCUCCUUUUUAGCAAUUGCCCUUGCAUUGUAUGCCACCCAUUUUGAAAUUUCAGCUUUGAAGUCCUCAUCAACUAUUUGUCUUAAUAAUCUUGGAGGCAUUUCAACAUUACAUCUAAAUCUCUCCAUGUACUUGUUUGCAAGCCACUUAGCAGAAAUAUUCUUGUUCUUCCAUACAUGACUGCAGUUUGUGUGCUCAUUAUUCAUGCUCUUGACAACCAAAUCAGCUAUUCCAAGUUCCCUCUCAACUGAAGCAUAAACAAACCAUUGGCAAGGAGCAGUGUUGCAGUUAUAAAAUCAAAUAAGGACACUGGAUACGCAUUGGAUUGAAUUUUUACACAUGAUGGAGAAAAAUUGCAAUGCUGGCCGUUGGCGAAUCUUUCAUCAUUCAGACAAAAGCUUGGUACUGAGGCAUAUGAGAAGUCCUAUUUUAUAGUACACCAUCAUCUUGAAGUUAUUGGUAUAGACGAAGCACAAUUUUUUGAAGACCUUUAUGAUUUUUGCUGUGAAGCUGCUUACCGUGAUGGCAAGACUGUAAUAGUUGCUGGGUUGGAUGGUGAUUAUCUAAGGAGAAGUUUUGGAUCUGUGCUUCAAGUUAUACCCCUUGCGGACUCUGUAACCAAGUUAAAUGCUGAGCUCUGUGGUAAUUGAGAAAGACAGAGGAGACUGAAACAGAACUAGUUGCUGCAAAAUUGCUGUAUAGCUUUCUUUACAAGCUUUCUUUCAAGGUGGUGCAGUUGUAUAGUUGUGUACAACAGAGUAGGAAAUGCGGCUGCUCAUAUCUCAGGCUAGAAAUUUUGCAUUUGCAUAUGGUGUCUAAUUGCAGAAUUGGUAUACCCUUGUUUGAGUAUAUCAAAUCUCAUUGGUCAGCAAUGAACUAUAUUAAAUAGGUGAUUUGUGCUCCUUAGAUGUCUCCAUUUUUAUGAGGACAUGUACCUUUUCUAUGUUACUCAUGAACUGUAUUAAUGCAUGAUUUUACUUUCUCUUUUUGUGUGCUA